CCCAUUUUUAAGAGUUUUUACCCCUAAAAGAUUUCAGUUUGUUUUUAAACUGAGUUGUUCAAGUUAUGUGUCACAAUAAAGGUGAAGAAAGGUCUGAAAUUUCUUCUCUGUCACAUUGGAAUUUCAACAGGGGGCCACUGAGUAGACUGUGUGCACCUGGACAAUGUUGGGAAUGGAAACAUUUGAUUCCCUUGAGAAGAAGGAACAAGGGUCUGUGUAAAUCCGUACAACUUCUUAGCAACAGGAGGGUUGUGAGCAAGAACGGGAUAAAAGGAAGAGAGAGACAGAAACUGGGAGGAAGAGAAACGUGCAGAG